rnacentral:lncRNA from 1 species
GGCUAGUAAGAGGAUCGCUGUCUUUUUCUAUUUUUUUUCUAAGUAUACCGCAGUCCAGAAUCCCCUUCCCUGAUUGCUGUAUUGACCUCUGAAGAACAAAGUGCCCAACUAUUUGAAGUUUAACCUCAGAUACAUGCAGUGAGCUAUAGGCAUUUCCCUAUUCCCAUUGAUGUUGCCAUUUCCUAGCAUUUGAUAAAUGUUAAGUCCUCUCCCUUUACAAAAUGUUUUGAUAUUUGCUUCAGUUCUUAAUUCAGUCUUUAAUCUUUGUUGUGUGCCUGUAUGCUCCAAAACAAAAAAGGUAUUCAAUACAGUUCCCUAAAUGGCAUGGAAGUCCACAUACUGGAUAGAGAACUUUAGUUAGCAGGAUUUAGCCCUGACCACUUCAGGACUAACCAGAAGUUAAGCACGUGAUUAAGGGCAUUAUUCAAAUGCACUGUGAAUGCACCCAUGUAUGGAGCAUCAGCCUCUCUUAAGGAGGUAGAUAAAAGAAUGAACUUUGAGACUUACAGAUGGAUUGAAAAACCCAGUGAAAAUUCCUGAUUGUUUUCCAUGUUUUCUUAGUUAACUUGGUAAUCUAAAAGUAUUUCCCAUAGAAUCCUUCAGUUAACCAAGUUUCUAUGAGAAGAAUAAUAGAGCCUAGUGGUGUUCAUGCUGCAAAGAGCUACUGCAUCCACCAGUGAAAGCUUAUCUUCUGCCAUCAUAACAAAUCUCUGCAAUCAACACUUGGCCAAAGCAUCUUGCUGUGUCCGGUAUUUGGAGUUUUACUGUUGAUCCAGCUAACUUGACAUACACAUAGCUUUUUCUUUCAUUUUUUGUCCAGUGGAGAUUCAACGCUUCUCACAAGUUGAAUGAACUAGUCUGCAAGGCGAGCUACAUAGAGUGACCUCCCUACUACAGACAUGAAAGUCUGUGCGCCAAAGUACUCUAACUGGCUUGUUCUACAGUGUGAGAUGAAAAGCGUCACUACUUGUUGUAUGAGCCACUGUAAAUUCAGGCUUAAACAAAUAAGCCAACUUUAAAGAUUGAAAAGAAGCCAAUCACCUAAGGUCUUUUGCUGCCUCUUUCUGUGAUGUUCCAGGUCUUCCCACCAGUCCUAUUAGUUUUUCUCUCUCUCUGAG